rnacentral:lncRNA from 1 species
AUGCCGACAACGUGUGUGGUGAAAGGAUGCAACUCCACUUCUGCAAAGGGAUGUGGAAUCGGUUUUUUUCGUUUCCCAAGCGUUGCAAGAGAUCGCGACCGACGCAAAGCUUGGACAAGUGCUGUCAAACACACAUGGCUGUCAAACGCACAUGGCCGCGCUUGGGAGCCGUCGACCACGUCGAGAAUAUGCGGCAAACACUUUGUGUCAGGGAAGCCGUCCUUCUCACCAAGGCACCCGGACUUCGUGCCCACACUGUUCUCGAAUGUCAACAAUCGGGACAGGCAGGCCCGAAGUUUACGACGUUUCGAACGUGCGUUGAAGAGAUCAGCUAAGCGAAGACUGCAAGACUCGCAGAGUGCACAGCCUUACAGUACAGCUGUACCACCAAGUUCAUCUGCUGCCAGUGCAAGCGCCCUCUCCAAUGC